rnacentral:rRNA from 1 species
GAUGAACGCUGGCGGCGUGCCUAAUACAUGCAAGUCGAGCGAACAGACGAGGAGCUUGCUCCUUUGACGUUAGCGGCGGACGGGUGAGUAACACGUAGGUAACCUACCUAUAAGACUGGGAUAACUUCGGGAAACCGGAGCUAAUACCGGAUAAUAUUUCGAACCGCAUGGUUCGAUAGUGAAAGAUGGCUUUGCUAUCACUUAUAGAUGGACCUGCGCCGUAUUAGCUAGUUGGUAAGGUAACGGCUUACCAAGGCAACGAUACGUAGCCGACCUGAGAGGGUGGUCGGCGACACUGGAACUGAGACACGGUCCAGACUCCUACGGGAGGCAGCAGUAGGGAAUCUUCCGCAAUGGGCGAAAGCCUGACGGAGCAACGCCGCGUGAGUGAUGAAGGUCUUCGGAUCGUAAAACUCUGUUAUUAGGGAAGAACAAACGUGUAAGUAACUGUGCACGUCUUGACGGUACCUAAUCAGAAAGCCACGGCUAACUACGUG